rnacentral:rRNA from 1 species
AUUGAACGCUGGCGGAAUGCUUUACACAUGCAAGUCGAACGGCAGCACGGGGCAACCUGGUGGCGAGUGGCGAACGGGUGAGUAAUACAUCGGAACGUGCCCAAUCGUGGGGGAUAACGUAGCGAAAGUUACGCUAAUACCGCAUACGAUCUACGGAUGAAAGCGGGGGAUCGCAAGACCUCGCGCGAAUGGAGCGGCCGAUGUCAGAUUAGGUAGUUGGUGGGGUAAAGGCUCACCAAGCCAACGAUCUGUAGCUGGUCGGAGAGGACGAGCAGCCACACUGGGACUGAGACACGGCCCAGACUCCGACGGGAGGCAGCAGUGGGGAAUUUUGGACAAGGGGCGCAAGCCUGAUCCAGCCAUUCCGCGUGCAGGAUGAAGGCCUUCGGGUUGUAAACUGCUUUUGUACGGAACGAAACGGUUCUCUCUAAUACAGGGGGCUAAUGACGGUACCGUAAGAAUAAGCACCGGCUAACUACGUGCCAGCCGCCGCGGUAACAC